AUGCGCGUGGACGACGCCGAGAGGCCCGAUUCUGCAGACGCCGGAGCGCAGAAGCCCGCCGAGCUCACCUCGCCUCAUAUGGAGAGCGUUUGUGAGAACACCACAACUGCUGAUUUCAAGCAGAGUAACUUUGGAAAUUUCCUUCCAAAUGUUAGAUCAGGCGGUUGGUCAGAUAUUGGAAGUCGCCAGUACAUGGAAGAUACCCAUGUGUGUAUUGCCGAUCUAGCUAAAAACUUUGGUUAUCCAACAGUGGAUAAAGAAGUUGUUUCCUUUUAUGGGGUCUUUGAUGGGCAUGGUGGAAAAGAUGCUGCCCAUUUCGUUCGCGAUAAUCUGCCAAGGGUCAUUGUGGAAGAUGCUGAUUUUCCUCUGGAGCUUGAGAAAGUAGUGAGCAGAUCCUUUGUGCAGAUUGAUAGUCAGUUUGCGGAUAAAUGCUCUCACCAGCGAACUCUGUCGUCCGGCACAACGGCACUUACGGCAAUGAUUUUUGGAAGGUCCCUUCUGGUCGCGAAUGCGGGUGAUUGCAGAGCAGUACUUUCGCGGUGUGGCAUCGCAAUGGAGAUGUCGAUGGAUCACAGGCCCUGCAGCCUGAGCGAAAAGCUGCGGGUAGAGUCACUCGGUGGCUACGUGGACGACGGCUACCUGAACGGUCUGCUGGGAGUCACCAGAGCCCUCGGCGACUGGCACCUCGAGGGAAUGAAGGAGGCCAGCAGGCCCGGGGGAGGCCCCCUGAGCGCGGAGCCGGAGAUCAAGCUGACCACGCUGACCAAGGACGACGAGUUCCUGGUGAUCGGCAGCGACGGGCUGUGGGACGUCUUCUCGAACCAGAACGCCGUGGACUUCGCCCGGCGGCGCCUCCAGGAGCACAACGACGUGAGGCGCUGCUGCAGGGAGAUUGUCGAGGAGGCGAUAAGGCGCGGAGCCACAGACAAUUUAACAGCAGUGCUGGUCUCAUUCCACCUGGUGGCGCCGCCUCAGAUCAGAGUGAAUCAGCCACGCAGGGUGGCGCGGAGCAUUUCGGCCGACGGGCUCAACAGCCUCAGGAUACUCCUGGGAAGCCAAUGA
rnacentral:rRNA from 1 species